UAGGGAAUCUUCCACAAUGGACGAAAGUCUGAUGGAGCAACGCCGCGUGAGUGAAGAAGGGUUUCGGCUCGUAAAACUCUGUUGUUAAAGAAGAACAUAUCUGAGAGUAACUGUUCAGGUAUUGACGGUAUUUAACCAGAAAGCCACGGCUAACUAUGUACCAG
rnacentral:rRNA from 1 species